rnacentral:rRNA from 1 species
UGGGGGAUAUUGCACAAUGGGCGAAAGCCUGAUGCAGCGACACCGCGUGGGGGAUGAAGGCCUUCGGGUUGUAAACUUCUUUUGCUCUGAACAAGGCAUGCUAAUGGGUGUGUUGAGUGUAGGGGUUGAUUAGCGCCGGCUAACUACGUGCCAGCAGCCGCGGUAAUACGUAGGGCGCGAGCGUUGUCCGGAAUUAUUGGGCGUAAAGGGCUUGUAGGUGGCUGGUUGCGUCUGUCGUGAAAGCUCAUGGCUUAACUGUGGGUUUGCGGUGGGUACGGGCUGGCUUGAGUGCAGUAGGGGAGGCUGGAAUUCCUGGUGUAGCGGUGGAAUGCGCAGAUAUCAGGAGGAAUACCGGUGGCGAAGGCGGGUCUCUGGGCUGUUACUGACACUGAGGAGCGAAAGCAUGGGGAGCGAACAGG